UUUUUUUUUUUUUUUUUUUUUUUUUUUGACGGAGUCGCUCUGUCGCCCAGGCUGGAGUGCAGUGGCACGAUCUGGGCUCACUUCAAGCUCCGCCUCCCGGGUUCACGCCAUUCUCCUGCCCCAGCCUGUCGAGUAGCUGGGACUACAGGCGCCCAUCACCACGCCCGGCUAAUUUUUUUGUAUUAUUAGUAGAAACGGGGUUUCACCAUGUUAGCCAGGAUGGUCUCGAUCUCCUGACCUCGUGAUCCACCCGCCUCGGCCUUCCAAAGUGCUGGGAUUACAGGCGUGAACCACUGUGCCCGGCCACAUGGGGACUUCCUUAAAUUAGCAAAUGCUUAAUCUUCACAACAGAAUUACAGAGAAGACUCCAAUUAAUGAAUAAUGAGUUGGAGUUCUUUAGGGAGAUUAGCUCAAAUGUGUUCUUUAGUUGGAAGCACCUACAAUAAAUCAAACCGGGUUAAUCAAAUGUUGCCUAAUAAUGGACUUUAGGGAAUCCACUACAAUGAAAAGAUAAAUAUUACUUAAAAUUGGCAUACCAAUUGUUGGUGUGUAAAUAGGAACUUCUUAGAGUGCUGAGAUAAUUGGUGUGAACUGAAUGCUUACAGUGCUACUUGUGGCACUCCGAUAAGCAUUCCUAGGGAUCUAACCUCUCAGAGUAAUUUAUUUGGUAGACUGGAAAACCUUCUUAAGUGCUGCAGGUGUAGACAGGGUGGAUCAACUGGAGAGGGAGGCCGCGGAGGGAUGGCAGAGGGUGAGAGGAAAAGAUACCCCUCAGCUCAGGUAUCUGUUUCCUGGAUAAAACGCCACCCCAACAUGUUAGGUUCCUUGGGCUUCCCCGGGCUUCUGGACCCCAGGCUGGGGCAGAAAAGCCUGAGGGUGGGCCUGGAAGACUUCAGGUUGAGCCGGGAUCUUGGCUAAGGAAGCUCAACCCAGUCCUGAGUGGGAACUCCAAUCAUAGCCCCUCCACGAUUCUGGCUGUGCCUCAUCCCUGUCCCCCUCAGCCACAGGUCCCCACUUGGAUCUGGGCUCCUGGCCCCUCAAUGCUUGGAACAUUCCUAGAGGGAGCAAAGGAAAGGGUUCAAGGAAAGACACCUAGAUUCUUCUUCCAUACAAGUGCAGAUGGAACCAUGAUGUCCAGUUCUCACCUUAAGCCCAGCAUGUCCAAAAUCAAACUCCCAUUUCCACAUAAGUCGGCUCCGUCUAUAUCCCCUGUCCCAGUGGAAGGCAGCACAACGAAGUCAUAGUUUUCCUGGAUCCCUCCAGUGAAGAUCUCAUUCCCAUGGCUAGCCAGUCACCAAGGCUCAUCAAUUUUACCUUUGAUCCUGGAGAGGGUAGCAAGGGACUCCCAGAGGCCUGUAGGCACAGGGCCAGUACCUUCCCUCACCUCUGUUUUCCCUCCCUGGGCUGUGUCCAGGGUGCCUUGUCCCACUCCCUCCUGUCACUUGUGCCCAUGGACUCUGCUGUCCUUGUUCCAUCCAUGUUUGGGGCACCAUCAGCCUUAAAGAGGACACAAGGAUGCAGGGUGCACUGUGCUACACAAAGGGGAGUUCACCACUCAUGGGAACAGGGGAAACACAGCCCCCCAAAGAUUCAUAGCAGCCAAAGACCACGUGAGUUGUACACACAAAGGAGUCAGCGAAAGGGAGCUGGGUAGCUUGGGAAGGCUUGUUGAGGGGCAGGGGCUUGAGUUCACUUAAAAGAGAAGAUAGCAACAUUUGAUAAGCAUUCCUUUUCAUCAUGCUACUCCUAAUGAAAAAAACAAAGACAAAAACUCCUGGCUCUGGGUCAGGAGUUUGAACACACAUAUCAUAGUUAAGGACAAGGCACCGGAGUCAGGAAGGCCUAGGUUUGAGAUCCACAUCUGUCUCUUACCAGCUGUAUUAUCUUAGUCUUAAAAUGUCCUGUUCUAUAAAAUACUAAGAAUAUAUCAGAGUUGUGAGGAUUCAUGAGUUAAUAUAUUUACUAUGCUUAGAACAGUGUCUGGCAAACAAUAUUACU
rnacentral:lncRNA from 1 species